rnacentral:lncRNA from 1 species
GGAAUGACCAAAACCAACUCAAAGCUAGAAUGAAUUCCCUGUGUGGUGGAGACCCAACAAGCCAUUUCAGAGCCAGAUGAAGGAUAUCGGGCAUCUCUUAAAUGAAACCUGAGUCAGAUACCUGCACACAUACCAGUCCCCUCAAUGUGUAUUCAAGAUACUGUUAACUUAUGGCAAAAUUCUUCCAUCAUAGCAGGGUGCAGUUUUGAAUGUAUGCAACUAGACUCCAGACUUUUCCAGUCUUUCCCAGUCUUUCCUGUUCACCUCAAUUUAGCACUAGCUGAUGGCUCCUGCUCUGUGUCAUAUUCUGCUCCCAGGCCAGAGAUGAAGUCACGGUACUGGCUUUAUGAGUUCUUGCAGCUGCACAACAGCCCGAGAGACUCUCACUGCCUUCUGGAGCAAGAAAACGUGCCUGCAGAGCUUCGAGCUACACUCGUCAGUUUCUAAGGCACCAGGGAGCCGCCUUCUUUUGCAGAGGGGACCUUCAUCUUUGUAAAAGUUAGUCUCCAGGCAUCCAGGUCAGUCAGGUGGUCCACUGCCACUCCAGAGCUUUCCUUAAGGCCCCGCCCUACAUGGUUGUCGUGACAAGGUUAGAGCUUUUUCCAUCCGUGUGCUAUUAUUUCCUGUCAGUUGGAACCUCGUGGGGCCAGGUUCCCAGCGGGUAACGUAUUCAGAUGAGUGUCCACACAGGUUUUGAGCUUUUGCUUUCUGCUGGUCUAUUCUAGCUUCCCUCGUUCCUGAUUCUGUAGGUCACGUCCUCUCCCAUUUCUUGGGCCCCAGGUCCUCUUCUGUAUUAAGAGGCUGACAGUCCCUCUCGCCAAUAAGCUGAAGAGUUGCUUUGGGAUCUUUCAGGAAAGAGUGCUGAAGUUUAUGCCAUUUAGUCUGGGCCUCUGGGAACAGAUACACGGAUAGACGAGUGAGCGAGAGAACGAACGAACGAAUGAAUAUGGAAUUAUCCAAAGACUGUCAAGAACAGCCGCUGCUAAAAAAAGAAAAAAAAUGCUGAAAAUAUUUUUAGAUUCAGAAAAAUCAUAUUCUUCUUGGUAAGUGACAAAAAUGGCUUAAAGCUAAAACUAAA